AGAGUUUGAUCAUGGCUCAGAUUGAACGCUGGCGGCAGGCCUAACACAUGCAAGUCGAGCGGUAGCACAGAGAGCUUGCUCUCGGGUGACGAGCGGCGGACGGGUGAGUAAUGUCUGGGAAACUGCCUGAUGGAGGGGGAUAACUACUGGAAACGGUAGCUAAUACCGCAUAAUGUCGCAAGACCAAAGUGGGGGACCUUCGGGCCUCAUGCCAUCAGAUGUGCCCAGAUGGGAUUAGCUAGUAGGUGGGGUAACGGCUCACCUAGGCGACGAUCCCUAGCUGGUCUGAGAGGAUGACCAGCCACACUGGAACUGAGACACGGUCCAGACUCCUACGGGAGGCAGCAGUGGGGAAUAUUGCACAAUGGGCGCAAGCCUGAUGCAGCCAUGCCGCGUGUGUGAAGAAGGCCUUCGGGUUGUAAAGCACUUUCAGCGGGGAGGAAGGCGGUAAGGUUAAUAACCUUGGCGAUUGACGUUACCCGCAGAAGAAG
rnacentral:rRNA from 1 species